rnacentral:lncRNA from 10 species
AUUUGCUCAAGGGGAGGCCAGGACAAGAAAUAAUGAAGAGUCCGAUGUGGCAGGAAUGUAGGAAACAAGUCAAUGAUGGAAGAUAAAUAUGGAGACGUGAUGAAGGCAAAAUUCUGAAGGGUCUUAGAGCCCAUUAUAAGACGUUUGGUUUUUAUGAAUAUUUCACUGAUUGCCUUGCCCGCUUCUCAAAGGCCCACUUCUCUGUGGAAUGAUGCAGUUGCUAAGAAGAGCUGUUAAUGUCAUGACCUCAAUGAAUAAAAAAGACUUCCUUUUCUCCAUGCCCACUCAAGUAAAAGGCUUCUCUCUGAACUCCUGCUAAUUUUUCAUCAGCAAAGGUGCACAGCCUUUUGGAAGUGAAAUGAUUACUAGUGAAGAAAAAGAAAGAACCUAACACUUAUUUUACAAGCCUCCCAGUGACCACUCUUCAGACAAAACUUCUUAUAAUAGCUUCCUUCCCUGAAUCUUUUGCGAAACAUCAAAUCACAAAGAGAUCUUAUUGUGAGUAUUACCUAAAAUUUUUUCCUGUCUUAUGUAGCAAAGAGGGAAGUCACUGAGUCAGCUUAGAUAUGUGUAUGUGUUCUAAAAAAAAUGAAUGUAUCCAUGU